UUGACAUGAUGAGUAAUUCUCACGAUGGUCUUCAUAGCACCUUUGGUGAGGGAGCUUUGAUGAGGCUGCCAAUUGGCAUUUCCUGAUCAGGCCAC